UUUUUUUUAAUCAGGUAAAUAGCUAGUUGAGAUCAGAGACCCCUUUCAUAAGGGUGACCUGGCCCAGGAGGAAGCAGCACAUGUUGUUAACUUAACAAACAACCACAUAUAGAAAUAAGCAUACUUUAAUGUAGUUAUACUUGUUUCUGUGUGUAAACAGUAAACACGGGUACACCGGGGAGAAGUGUGCCCUCCCGCCCAGCCUACUAGCGCAUGCAUUCAAUUGGACCAAUCAGAAUCAAGGCUUUAAAUAUACGACCCAAUCACACAGCGUGAAAGUCAGCUUCACGAAAGUUAACGUGUUAACUGUGAGAGGGAAGCUAUUUUUGGCCAGAAAUCAUUUUAUUUCUCAGGUUUCCUUUGUUUUACUUUACCGACUCGGACUUGGAAGGUGGACACCGCAGACAUAAUAAGAAAAGAACAGAGAAGAGAAGAAUAUCCGGUCAGCUCCCUGCAGAAGUUAAAUGUGAAAAGAGCUAAAGAGGCGUGAUUGGCAAGUUACAAGCAGGAGAGGACAGACGCAGGUACUGCCAGCAAAAAUCUUGAUGGCUCAGAGGCCUCGAAAACCUCAAAGGACCAGCUGGACCCUCACAAGCUCAAUGUGCUCAUAGAUGCUGUGUGAUAAAGCAGUUUCCAAAUCCCAUAGAGUCUGCAGUCACAGAAAAUGCAACAAGUCCUACUCAAAGAUAACCGACCCUCCACUUGAAGGAUAAGGAUUGUGACAUUUUUCAGUUUCAGUUUGGUUUCACCAUUUAUACUAUAUGCUUGUGACGGAGUACCUUCACAACAGUUGAGUAAGAGCUUGGACUGCCAUACCAACGAGCUGCUGUUGCUGUCAAAGUUGCAUGUUUGGUACCCGGUAGACCUGUGUUUGAAUCUGGGUAGGAUGACUGCUCUCGCCUUUCGCCGCAUAUGGUGUCAGAAGUGGGAUGGCUUGCCAUGAGGUCAUCUGAGCCGUACCCAGAGUCCGAACUGUGUGAGGGACCCCCAUGGGUAACAUUAAUGAUGUGAUGUGUAUAGUGUACUUUUCAGUAAUACUGAUCAUAUGUCAUCAUUUUACUGAUUUUAUUUAUAUUUGAAGGUAUUUUGGUCAAUAUAUGAUACAUGCUGCUAUACCUUUUAAUGUACAGGAAUUUAUUUUUGUAAUGUACACAAAAUUAAAGUUUUUUAGUUGUCUGUAU